rnacentral:miRNA from 1 species
UGAAUUGAUGUGAUUUUG